ACAUGAGCCAGCAGUGUGCCCAGGUGGGCAAGAAGGCCAAUGGCAUCCUGGCCUGUAUCAGGAACAGUGUGGCCAGCAGGACCGGGAAAGUGAUUCUCUCCCUGUACUCAGCUCUGGUGAGGCCACCCCUGAAGUGCUG